rnacentral:rRNA from 1 species
UGCAGUCGCACGAGAAAGUGGAGCAAUCCAUAAGUAAAGUGGCGUACGGGUGAGUAACACGUGGAUCAUCUACCUCUUGGUGGGGAAUAACCUUGGGAAACCGGGGCUAAUACCGCAUAAGCCUGGAAAGGGAAAGAAGCAAUGCGCCGAGAGAGGAGUCCGCGGCCGAUUAGCUAGUUGGUAGGGUAACGGCCUACCAAGGCAAUGAUCGGUAGCCGGCCUGAGAGGGCACACGGCCACACUGGCACUGAAACACGGGCCAGACUCCUACGGGAGGCAGCAGUGGGGAAUCUUGCACAAUGGGGGAAACCCUGAUGCAGCGACGCCGCGUGAGCGAUGAAGCCCUUCGGGGUGUAAAGCUCUUUCGGCAGGAACGAUAAUGACGGUACCUGAAGAAGAAGCUGCGGCUAACUACGUGCCAGCAGCCGCGGUAAUACGUAGGCAGCAAGCGUUGUUCGGAGUUACUGGGCGUAAAGAGUGUGUAGGCGGUUCUCUAUGUUCGGUGUGAAAUCUCCCGGCUCAACUGGGAGGGUGCGCCGGAAACUGGAGGGCUUGAGUAUGGGAGAGGAAAGCGGAAUUCCUGGUGUAGCGGUGAAAUGCGUAGAUAUCAGGAGGAACACCUGCGGUGUAGACAGCUUUCUGGACCAUCACUGACGCUGAGACACGAAAGCGUGGGUAGCAAACAGGAUUAGAUACCCUGGUAGUCCACGCCCUAAACGAUGCAUACUUGGUGUGAGCCGUUCAUUCGGUUCGUGCCGGAGCUAACGCGUUAAGUAUGCCGCCUGGGGAGUACGGUCGCAAGGCUGAAACUCAAAGUAAUUGACGGGGGCCCGCACAAGCGGUGGACAUGUGGUUUAAUUCGACGCAACGCGAAGAACCUUACCUGGGCUCGAACGGCUUACGACCGGGGUGG